GACGAACGCUGGCGGCGUGCUUAACACAUGCAAGUCGAACGGAAAGGCCUGCUUUCCCUUGUGGAUUGCGGGUACUCGAGUGGCGAACGGGUGAGUAACACGUGAGUGAUCUGCCCCCAACUUGGGUAUAAGCCUGGGAAACUGGGUCUAAUUCCCGAUAGGACUGCAGGGUUGUGCCUGUGGUGGAAAACGAUUUUCUAGUGUUUGGGGAUGAGCUCGCGGCCUAUCAGCUUGUUGGUGGGGUAAUGGCCUACCAAGGCGGCGACGGGUAGCCGGCGGGAGAGGGGGGAAGGGAAAAGUGGGACUGAGAUACGGGCAAGACGGCUACGGGAGGAAGGAGAGGGGAAUAAUGGAGAAUGGGGGGAAGACUGAAGAAGCGAGGGAGAGUGGGGGAUGACGGGAUUCGGGUUGUAAACUCCUUUCGACAGAGAGGAAGGCACCUGGUUGGAAGGGUGGUGACGGUAGUGGUAGAAGAAGCACCGGCUAACUACGUG
rnacentral:rRNA from 1 species